rnacentral:rRNA from 1 species
GCUUAGAAGCAGCCAUCAUUUAAAGAAAGCGUAAUAGCUCACUGGUCGAGUCGGCCUGCGCGGAAGAUGUAACGGGGCUAAACCAUGCACCGAAGCUGCGGCAGCGACGCUGAUGCGUUGUUGGGUAGGGGAGCGUUCUGUAAGCCUGCGAAGGUGUGCUGUGAGGCAUGCUGGAGGUAUCAGAAGUGCGAAUGCUGACAUAAGUAACGAUAAAGCGGGUGAAAAGCCCGCUCGCCGGAAGACCAAGGGUUCCUGUCCAACGUUAAUCGGGGCAGGGUGAGUCGACCCCUAAGGCGAGGCCGAAAGGCGUAGUCGAUGGGAAACAGGUUAAUAUUCCUGUACUUGGUGUUACUGCGAAGGGGGGACGGAGAAGGCUAUGUUGGCCGGGCGACGGUUGUCCCGGUUUAAGCGUGUAGGCUGGUUUUCCAGGCAAAUCCGGAAAACUAAGGCUGAGGCGUGAUGACGAGGCACUACGGUGCUGAAGCAACAAAUGCCCUGCUUCCAGGAAAAGCCUCUAAGCAUCAGGUAACAUCAAAUCGUACCCCAAACCGACACA